rnacentral:rRNA from 1 species
UACGUAGGGUCCAAGCGUUAAUCGGAAUUACUGGGCGUAAGGCGUGCGCAGGCGGUUGUGCAAGACCGAUGUGAAAUCCCCGAGCUUAACUUGGGAAUUGCAUUGGUGACUGCACGGCUAGAGUGUGUCAGAGGGGGGUAGAAUUCCACGUGUAGCAGUGAAAUGCGUAGAGAUGUGGAGGAAUACCGAUGGCGAAGGCAGCCCCCUGGGAUAACGCUGACGAUCAUGCACGAAAGCGUGGGGAGCAAACAGG